CCUACGGGGGGCAGCAGUGAGGAAUAUUGGUCAAUGGUCGGGAGACUGAACCAGCCAAGCCGCGUGAGGGAGGAAGGUACAGAGUAUCGUAAACCUCUUUUGUCAGGGAACAAAGGCGGGGACGUGUCCCCGGAUGAGUGUACCUGAAGAAAAAGCAUCGGCUAACUCCGUGCCAGCAGCCGCGGUAAUACGGAGGAUGCGAGCGUUAUCCGGAUUUAUUGGGGUUAAAGGGUGCGCAGGCGGUCUGUUAAGUCAGCGGUCAAAGCCCGGGGCUCAACCCCGGCCCGCCGUUGAAACUGGCAGUCGCGAGUUGGAGAGAAGUAGGCGGAAUGCGCGGUGUAGCGGUGAAAUGCAUAGAUAUCGCGCAGAACUCCGAUUGCGAAGGCAGCAUGCCGGCUCCACACUGACGCUGAGGCACGAAAGCGUGGGUAUCGAACAGGAUUAGAUACCCGUAUAGUC
rnacentral:rRNA from 1 species